rnacentral:misc_RNA from 1 species
GAUGAAGAACGCAGCGAAAUGCGAUAAGUAAUGUGAAUUGCAGAAUUCAGUGAAUCAUCGAAUCUUUGAACGCACAUUGCGCCCGCCAGUAUACUGGCGGGCAUGCCUGUUCGAGCGUCAUUUCAACCCUCAAGCCCCCGGGCUUGGUGUUGGGGAUCGGCGUGCCCUCGCGGCGCGCCGUCCCCUAAAUCUAGUGGCGGUCUCGCUGUAGCUUCCUCUGCGUAGUAGCAACACUCGCACUGGAUCGCAGCGCGGCCACGCCGUUAAACCCCCCACUUCUGAAAGUUUGACCUCGGAUCAGGUAGGAAUACCCGCUGAACUUAAGCAUAUCAAUAAGCGGAGGA